UCCCUGGUGGCUCAGGUGGUAAAGAAUCUGCCUGCAAUGCAGGAGACCCAGGUUCGAUCCCUGGGUUGGGAA
rnacentral:tRNA from 1 species